rfam:Arabidopsis thaliana chromosome 4, complete sequence.
GCCCGUCUAGCUCAGUUGGUAGAGCGCAAGGCUCUUAACCUUCUGGUCGUGGGUUCGAGCCCCACGGUGGGCG